rnacentral:rRNA from 1 species
CAGCAGCCGCGGGAAUACGAAGGGGGCUAGCGUUGUUCGGAAUUACUGGGCGUAAAGCGCACGUAGGCGGACUUUUAAGUCAGGGGUGAAAUCCCGGGGCUCAACCUCGGAACUGCCUUUGAUACUGGAAGUCUUGAGUGUGGAAGAGGUAAGUGGAAUUGCGAGUGUAGAGGUGAAAUUCGUAGAUAUUCGCAGGAACACCAGUGGCGAAGGCGACUCUCUGGUCUGUAACUGACGCUGAGGAGCGAAAGCGUGGGGAGCGAACAGGAUUAGAGACCCGCGUAGUCCCUGUCUCUUAUAC